rnacentral:rRNA from 1 species
CGAACGGGUGAGUAACGCGUGAGGAACCUGCCUCAAAGAGGGGGACAACAGUUGGAAACGACUGCUAAUACCGCAUAAGCCCACGGCUCGGCAUCGAGCAGAGGGAAAAGGAGCAAUCCGCUUUGAGAUGGCCUCGCGUCCGAUUAGCUAGUUGGUGAGGUAACGGCCCACCAAGGCGACGAUCGGUAGCCGGACUGGGAGGUUGAACGGCCACAUUGGGGCUGAGACACGGCCCAG